UACGUAGGCAGCAAGCGUUGUUCGGAGUUACUGGGCGUAAAGGGUGUGUAGGCGGUUCUUUAAGUUUGGUGUGAAAUCUCCCGGCUCAACCGGGAGGGUGCGCCGAAAACUGAAGGGCUAGAGUGCGGGAGAGGAGAGUGGAAUUCCUGGUGUAGCGGUGAAAUGCGCAGAUAUCAGGAAGAACACCCGUGGCGAAAGCGGCUCUCUGGAACGGUACUGACGCUGAGACGCGAAAGCGUGGGGAGCGAACAGG
rnacentral:rRNA from 1 species